rnacentral:rRNA from 1 species
CCCAGAGAAAUUUGGAUUAAUACUCAUAGUAUUUUCGGAUCGCAUGAUUUGAUUAUUAAAGUUCCAACGGUAAAAGAUGAGUAUGCGUCCCAUUAGCUAGAUGGUAAGGUAACGGCUUACCAUGGCGAUGAUGGGUAGGGGGUCCUGAGAGGGAGAUCCCCCACACUGGUACUGAGACACGGACCAGACUCCUACGGGAGGCAGCAGUGAGGAAUAUUGGACAAUGGGCGCAAGCCUGAUCCAGCCAUGCCGCGUGCAGGAAGACGGUCCUAUGGAUUGUAAACUGCUUUUAUACAGGAAGAAACACUCGGACGUGUCCGAACUUGACGGUACUGUAUGAAUAAGCAUCGGCUAACUCCGUG